rnacentral:lncRNA from 1 species
ACCCCUUGAUAUGCUUCCAGAUUAUUUUCAUUAUAUGGAUCAUUCAGAACACCGCUUUUAAAAUCUUUUCUCAAAAAUUUUGGAUAUGAAAACAGAAGACCAUCUGAAGAAAUUUGAGAAGCUGGCUCGUGUUCAUUUAUCGUUCUAAAUAUGCAUGAAAUAUUUGCCACUGGACGUUAAGCAACCAACAAUAAUCUAGACUGGGUUGAUGCAGUCAUGAUUUGUCAACUUUGCAAUAGCAAAUAUAUUGAUGUUUGUAAAAGUCACACCAACUGAAAAGGAAUAUUCAUUAAUAUAGAUAGCAUAUGUUUUGCUCAACUAUCGAUAGCAAAGUUUUGAAAAUUCUUAUUUUAUUUUUUUCUCUAUUUUACUGAUAAAUGGAC